UGAACGCUAUCUACAGGCUUAACACAUGCAAGUCGAGGGGCAGCAUGGUCUUAGCUUGCUAAGGCCGAUGGCGACCGGCGCACGGGUGAGUAACACGUAUCCAACCUGCCGUCUACUCUUGGACAGCCUUCUGAAAGGAAGAUUAAUACAAGAUGGCAUCAUGAGUCCGCAUGUUCACAUGAUUAAAGGUAUUCCGGUAGACGAUGGGGAUGCGUUCCAUUAGAUAGUAGGCGGGGUAACGGCCCACCUAGUCUUCGAUGGAUAGGGGUUCUGAGAGGAAGGUCCCCCACAUUGGAACUGAGACACGGUCCAAACUCCUACGGGAGGCAGCAGUGAGGAAUAUUGGUCAAUGGGCGAGAGCCUGAACCAGCCAAGUAGCGUGAAGGAUGACUGCCCUAUGGGUUGUAAACUUCUUUUAUAAAGGAAUAAAGUCGGGUAUGGAUACCCGUUUGCAUGUACUUUAUGAAUAAGGAUCGGCUAACUCCGUGCCAGCAGCCGCGGUAAUACGGAGGAUCCGAGCGUUAUCCGGAUUUAUUGGGUUUAAAGGGAGCGUAGAUGGAUGUUUAAGUCAGUUGUGAAAGUUUGCGGCUCAACCGUAAAAUUGCAGUUGAUACUGGAUAUCUUGAGUGCAGUUGAGGCAGGCGGAAUUCGUGGUGUAGCGGUGAAAUGCUUAGAUAUCACGAAGAACUCCGAUUGCGAAGGCAGCCUGCUAAGCUGCAACUGACAUUGAGGCUCGAAAGUGUGGGUAUCAAACAGGAUUAGAUACCCUGGUAGUCCACACGGUAAACGAUGAAUACUCGCUGUUUGCGAUAUACUGCAAGCGGCCAAGCGAAAGCGUUAAGUAUUCCACCUGGGGAGUACGCCGGCAACGGUGAAACUCAAAGGAAUUGACGGGGGCCCGCACAAGCGGAGGAACAUGUGGUUUAAUUCGAUGAUACGCGAGGAACCUUACCCGGGCUUAAAUUGCAGAUGAAUUACGGUGAAAGCCGUAAGCCGCAAGGCAUCUGUGAAGGUGCUGCAUGGUUGUCGUCAGCUCGUGCCGUGAGGUGUCGGCUUAAGUGUCAUAACGAGCGCAACCCUUGUUGUCAGUUACUAACAGGUUCCGCUGAGGACUCUGACAAGACUGCCAUCGUAAGAUGUGAGGAAGGUGGGGAUGACGUCAAAUCAGCACGGCCCUUACGUCCGGGGCUACACACGUGUUACAAUGGGGGGUACAGAGGGCCGCUACCACGCGAGUGGAUGCCAAUCCCCAAAACCUCUCUCAGUUCGGACUGGAGUCUGCAACCCGACUCCACGAAGCUGGAUUCGCUAGUAAUCGCGCAUCAGCCACGGCGCGGUGAAUACGUUCCCGGGCCUUGUACACACCGCCCGUCAAGCCAUGGGAGCCGGGGGUACCUGAAGUGCGUAACCGCGAGGAGCGCCCUAGGGUAAAACUGGUGACU
rnacentral:rRNA from 1 species